ensembl:lncRNA
CAAACUUAGGCAGAUCCAAGUGACCAGAGCGUCCUGCUGAUGGGACGAGGAGGACACCAGAUUGCACGGCAGGUCCCCUAACUGAACUCAGCAAGCCCUUCAGGUCUUCCUCCACCAGACUCCUCGAGGGACAGUGUUCAAGACCCCAGCAGGGCUGUGGAUGCCGUUCAGUUGGAAGCAGAGGCAGGAGACUCAGAAGCUCAAGAACAUCUCCAGCUACACAGCAAGUUCAAGACCACUACGUGAAACCCUGCCUCAGACCUAGCAGUGGGCUGGAGAAAUGGCUCAGGAGUUAGAUCUCAAGUUACCCAGGCUGGUUUUGAACUUAUUCUAUAAUCCAGACGGGCCUUGAAUUUGCAGUCCUCCUGCCUUAGGUUUGUGAGUAGCUACGAUUUCAGCUGCCUGCCACCAGGCCUGUCUUGUG